UUCAAGAAAAAAUCAUGCACAAGAUUUUAGCUAUUCUGUUACUUUUUGCGAUUAUUGGUACUGCUUAUACGCAAUGCACAACUGACUGCAUUUGUUGAUUGUAUACAAGGAUGCGGUGUAAAUGAAGUAGAUAUAAGAGAAGAAUGUUCUUGCUGUGCACUAUGUGUACCUUUGAAUGAAAACUGAUGCAAGUAAAAUUUUAUAAAAAUAAUGCUUACAUCGAUUGCAAUGUUAUCAAGAAGCAGAAGAAUGAAAGAUAAUGUCUUCCAAAUAAAUAAAAUUAUUUGAUUUUAAGCUGA